UACAGGCUUAACACAUGCAAGUCGAGAGGUAGCAGGGUAGCAAUACCGCUGACGACCGGCGCACGGGUGAGUAACACGUAUCCAACCUUCCCAUAACUCGGGGAUAGCCUUUCGAAAGAAAGAUUAAUACCCGAUAGUACUUUAUUAAGGCAUCUUAAGAAAGUUAAAGAUUUAUUGGUUAUGGAUGGGGAUGCGUUCCAUUAGAUAGUUGGUGAGGUAACGGCUCACCAAGUUUUCGAUGGAUAGGGGUUCUGAGAGGAAGGUCCCCCACAUUGGUACUGAGACACGGACCAAACUCCUACGGGAGGCAGCAGUGAGGAAUAUUGGUCAAUGGGCGAGAGCCUGAACCAGCCAAGUAGCGUGAAGGAUGACGG
rnacentral:rRNA from 1 species